AGAGUUUGAUCAUGGCUCAGAGCGAACGCUGGCGGCAGGCUUAACACAUGCAAGUCGAGCGGGCGUAGCAAUACGUCAGCGGCAGACGGGUGAGUAACGCGUGGGAACGUACCUUUUGGUUCGGAACAACACAGGGAAACUUGUGCUAAUACCGGAUAAGCCCUUACGGGGAAAGAUUUAUCGCCGAAAGAUCGGCCCGCGUCUGAUUAGCUAGUUGGUGAGGUAAUGGCUCACCAAGGCGACGAUCAGUAGCUGGUCUGAGAGGAUGAUCAGCCACAUUGGGACUGAGACACGGCCCAAACUCCUACGGGAGGCAGCAGUGGGGAAUAUUGGACAAUGGGGGCAACCCUGAUCCAGCCAUGCCGCGUGAGUGAUGAAGGCCCUAGGGUUGUAAAGCUCUUUUGUGCGGGAAGAUAAUGACGGUACCGCAAGAAUAAGCCCCGGCUAACUUCGUGCCAGCAGCCGCGGUAAUACGAAGGGGGCUAGCGUUGCUCGGAAUCACUGGGCGUAAAGGGUGCGUAGGCGGGUUUUUAAGUCAGGGGUGAAAUCCUGGAGCUCAACUCCAGAACUGCCUUUGAUACUGAAGAUCUUGAGUCCGGGAGAGGUGAGUGGAACUGCGAGUGUAGAGGUGAAAUUCGUAGAUAUUCGCAAGAACACCAGUGGCGAAGGCGGCUCACUGGCCCGGUACUGACGCUGAGGCACGAAAGCGUGGGGAGCAAACAGGAUUAGAUACCCUAGUAGUCC
rnacentral:rRNA from 1 species